rnacentral:rRNA from 1 species
UACGAAGGGUGCAAGCGUUAAUCGGAAUUACUGGGCGUAAAGGGUGCGUAGGCGGUUAGUUAAGUCUGUCGUGAAAUCCCCGGGCUCAACCUGGGAAUGGCGAUGGAUACUGGCUAGCUAGAGUGUGUCAGAGGAUGGUGGAAUUCCCGGUGUAGCGGUGAAAUGCGUAGAUAUCGGAAGGAACACCAGUGGCGAAGGCGGCUACCUGGACUGACACUGACGCUGAGGCGCGAGAGCGUGGGGAGCAAACAGG